CCCCUAGAUGUUCUGGGCCGCACGCGCGCUACACUGAUUCAUGCAACAAGUUUUGUCCUUGGCUGAUAGGCCUGGGUAAUCUUUGAACGUGAAUCGUGAUGGGGAUAGAUGAUUGCAAUUAUUCAUCUUCAACGGGGAAUUCCUAGUAAACGCAAGUCAUCAGCUUGCAUUGAUUACGUCCCUGCCCUUUGUACACACCGCCCGUCGCACCUACCGAUUGAAUGGUCCGGUGAAAUCUUCGGAUCUGAGAGAUGUCUGAUUAAUUUCGGACGCCUUUUGGAAAAGUUGUUUAAACCUUACCAUUUAGAGGAAGGUGAAGUCGUAACA
rnacentral:rRNA from 1 species